AGGACGAACGCUGGCGGCGUGCUUAACACAUGCAAGUCGAACGGUGAAGCCUUUCGGGGUGGAUCAGUGGCGAACGGGUGAGUAACACGUGAGCAAUCUGCCCUUGACUCUGGGAUAACUUCGGGAAACCGGAGCUAAUACCGGAUAUGACGCAUGGCCGCAUGGUCUGUGUGUGGAAAGAUUUAUUGGUCAGGGAUGAGCUCGCGGCCUAUCAGCUUGUUGGUGGGUAAUGGCCUACCAAGGCGACGACGGGUA
rnacentral:rRNA from 1 species